rnacentral:rRNA from 1 species
UACGGAGGGUGCAAGCGUUAAUCGGAAUUACUGGGCGUAAAGCGCACGUAGGCGGUCUGCCAAGCCAGAUGUGAAAUCCCCGGGCUCAACCUGGGAACUGCAUUUGAAACUGGCAGGCUUGAGUCUUGUAGAGGGGGGUAGAAUUCCAGGUGUAGCGGUGAAAUGCGUAGAGAUCAGGAGGAAUACCGGUGGCGAAGGCGGCCCCCUGGACAAAGGCUGACGCUGAGGUGCGAAAGCGUGGGGAGCAAACAGG